AGAUGGGAGCUUGCUCCCUGAUGUUAGCGGCGGACGGGUGAGUAACACGUGGGUAACCUGCCUGUAAGACUGGGAUAACUCCGGGAAACCGGGGCUAAUACCGGAUGCUUGAUUGAACCGCAUGGUUCAAUUAUAAAAGGUGGCUUUUAGCUACCACUUACAGAUGGACCCGCGGCGCAUUAGCUAGUUGGUGAGGUAACGGCUCACCAAGGCAACGAUGCGUAGCCGACCUGAGAGGGUGAUCGGCCACACUGGGACUGAGACACGGCCCAGACUCCUACGGGAGGCAGCAGUAGGGAAUCUUCCGCAAUGGACGAAAGUCUGACGGAGCAACGCCGCGUGAGUGAUGAAGGUUUUCGGAUCGUAAAACUCUGUUGUUAGGGAAGAACAAGUACCGUUCGAAUAGGGCGGUACCUUGACGGUACCUAACCAGAAAGCCACGGCUAACUACGUGCCAGCAGCCGCGGUAAUACGUAGGUGGCAAGCGUUGUCCGGAAUUAUUGGGCGUAAAGCGCGCGCAGGCGGUUUCUUAAGUCUGAUGUGAAAGCCCCCGGCUCAACCGGGGAGGGUCAUUGGAAACUGGGGAACUUGAGUGCAGAAGAGGAGAGUGGAAUUCCACGUGUAGCGGUGAAAUGCGUAGAGAUGUGGA
rnacentral:rRNA from 1 species